GUCUCUGUGGCGCAAUAGGUCAGCGCAGUUGGCUGUUAACCGAAAGGAUGGUGGUUGAAGUCCACCCACGGAUG
rnacentral:tRNA from 1 species